UAGUCCUACGGGGGGCAGCAGUGAGGAAUAUUGGUCAAUGGGCUUACGCCUGAACCAGCCAAGUCGCGUGAGGGAAGACUGCCCUAUGGGUUGUAAACCUCUUUUGUCAGGGAGCAACGCCGGCUACGUGUAGCCGGACUGAGAGUACCUGAAGAAAAAGCAUCGGCUAACUCCGUGCCAGCAGCCGCGGUAAUACGUAGGGGGCAAGCGUUAUCUGGAUUUACUGGGUGUAAAGGGAGCGUAGACGGCCAGACAAGUCUGAAGUGAAAAUCCAGCGCUUAACGUUGGAAGUGCUUUGGAAACUG
rnacentral:rRNA from 1 species